GCCAUCCGCCGCCUCACCCAAUCCCAGGCCGUCCUCCUCUGGGCCGCCCUCGAGGCGCUCCUCUCCUGGCUCGCCUUCUGUGCCGCCGCCAGGUUCGUCGGACGGGACCCCGCCCGUCACAAGAGCCUUUUCCGCGCCAGGUUCUCGGUCAGCCGCCUCGACUACAUCCUCGACAACCACGACUGGGCGGUCCAUCCCCCUGACCUACCACAGCUUGCUAUUCCUUCCCAUUUUUUCACCAUUCGCCGGUCUGAUUGAUGCCCAAGAUUGCAAUUUUAAUCUUCUUUUCUUUUCGCAUGAAUAAUUAAGCCUGCGAAGUUUCUAUUUUUAUUCACUCUCUCUCUUUCUCUCGCUGCUUAUUCUUUCCAGUUGGGUUUUGGAAUUCCCCUCCUUGCUUGGUUUACUUCGCCGCCGCGUUUUGGAUUUUCUGCUUCUUUGAUCGCUUCUUGGACGCGUCAUGGAUGUCCCUAUCAGACGGAGACCCUCGGCUUGGGUUGCUUCUUUUCCAUGGCACUGCUGUCUCUGAAUUUCUUGUAAAUUUUCCUUCCUUUCUGGCCUUCUGGGUCAAUUUGACUUCUCCAUUACUUCUUGCUUUUGACGUUUGUAUGUUGAGUGUGACUCUGCUGUUCCUUCUAAACCAUAUAAGCACAUUACGUUACAUGAAACUGGAAUCUUGCCAGUGGAAUGCACGAAGACCCUUGUAAUCCUGUCUCAACAGGACAUCUCCGGUCAUCAUAUGGAGCACUCAUUUUUGCGCAAUUCAUUCAUCUCUUUGGGACGUUUUUUUGGCCUUAUGAAAAUUGUAUUGUUGUACCUUGUCAAAAUCUAGGAUGAUCAGCAAGUACGGAGGAAAAGAAAAAAAAGAGCUGGGUGGUACGUUCUCAGUGGAUAGCUUGAUACUCUUCAUCGGAUUAGUCACCGUGCUUCUGUUAGCCAUCAAACAACGCAACGUUGAAGUUCACCGAGUUAAACCAGCUAAUGCUCCGGAUUAUCUUUUGUGAAUGAUCUCGAGUAUCACAUAACCACUAUCUCUAGCUGUCCUGCGCUUAAGCUGAUGGAAUGAAAAAUACAGAAUGAUCAAGAUAGUUUGAGAAUGUCGAUUAUGUGGUUGGUUGAUUGGCAUCAAGAUCCAGGUGGACCGUGCUGUCAUUCAGGUGGGUAAGGGUAAGAGUAAUAGGUCUGUCUCAUUUGAUAUUGCGAAUGGGUCUCCCUAAGAAAAUGCAAUUUGUCAACACCAAAAUUUCACAAAUAAGGUAUAACCAUGUGUUAUUAUACUUCAAAAAUCAUAUACUUCUAAUAUGAUUAGUAUUGCUACUACUUAAUAAUUAAAAUUUCAAUUUUAUCUAUAUCUAUACCUCUAUAAAAUACAUGAGUUGUGAUAAAAUCGGAUAAUCUUUAUCGUACAUUUUACACGAUCAAACGAUCUAAAGUAAAAGAUUUUCCCACAUUCCCUGUCCUAACUUUCCUUCCCCGCUAAUAUAAAAACCUCACGCCCGCUAACGGCGCACCCGCAUCCGCACCCUUGUCCCACGCGCUAGCACCCGCCGCCGACCGCCCGGCGCCUUGCCCUGAUGGCGCACCUCGCCGUCUCGAUGCCUCUCACCUCGCCACCUGGACGCCUUGCUGCUUGCCUCGGG